UCAAAAGUGUUGCAGUUAUUCGGCGUAUAUUUGCAGACGCAGAAGGAAAUUCAUUGAACAGGAACCACUACUAUUACUACCAAGUACAAGGACAAUUACAUGUCACAGAUUUUCGAAGAAAGGAUUCCCGAGAAGAGGUUUUUUGGAGCGAAGCGAGCGUAUAUUCAAGAAAGCAUUACCUACCAGGACAAAUGGACUGCAAAUAUGCUGUCUGAUCACGUAUAAUCGGCAAGUAUAAUGUUACAUAAUUAAUAUUACGUUAUCUAUACAUAAAUUACUUUCUUCACAGAUGGACG